rnacentral:misc_RNA from 1 species
GAUGAAGAACGUAGCGAAAUGCGAUAAGUAGUGUGAAUUGCAGAAUUCAGUGAAUCAUCGAAUCUUUGAACGCACAUUGCGCCCCAUGGUAUUCCGUGGGGCAUGCCUGUUCGAGCGUCAUUUACCCCCUCAAGCUCCGCUUGGUGUUGGGCGUCUGUCCCGCUUCGCGCGCGGACUCGCCCCAAAGGUAUUGGCAGCGGUCGUGCCAGCUUCUCGCGCAGCACAUUGCGCUUCUCGAGGCACCGGUGGGCCCGCGUCCAUCAAGCUCACCCCCCCAGUUUGACCUCGGAUCAGGUAGGGAUACCCGCUGAACUUAAGCAUAUCAAAGCGGAGGA